rnacentral:rRNA from 1 species
UACAGAGGGUGCGAGCGUUGUUCGGAAUUACUGGGCGUAAAGCGCGCGCAGGCGGCCUUUUAAGUCUACACGUGAAAUGCCGGGGCUCAACUCCGUGCACGCCGGGGGAUACUGGGAGGCUGGAGACAUGUAGAGGCAAGCGGAAUUCCGGGUGUAGCGGUGGAAUGCGUAGAGAUCCGGAAGAACACCUGAGGCGAAGGCGGCUUGCUGGGCAUGGUCUGACGCUGAGGCGCGAAAGCGUGGGGAGCGAACAGG